rfam:Oryza sativa Japonica Group DNA, chromosome 2, cultivar: Nipponbare, complete sequence.
UUUAAACGUAGCCAUGACUUUUCGUGUCCAAAUUUGAUCAUCCAUCAUUCGAACUUUUUAUGAUUAGUAAUUUUAGUGUUAUUAGAUGAUAAAGUACUUUUAUGCAUAACUUAUGUUUUUUAAUUUUUUUUUAAAAAAAAUUCAAACAAGACGAACGAUCAAAAUUAGUUUGCUUGGGGUCAGACCGCCA